rnacentral:rRNA from 1 species
AUUAGCCAUGCAUGUCUCAGUGCAAGCCGUAUUAAGGCGAUACCGCGAAUGGCUCAAUAUAUCAGUUUUGGUUCCUUAGAUCUUACUCGGUUACUUGGAUAACUGUGGUAAUUCUAGAGCUAAUACAUGCAAUCAGAACUCUGACCAGUGAUGGGAUGAGUGCUUUUAUUAGAUCAAAACCAAUCGACGGAGGGCCUCGCGUCCGAAGUCGUUAAUUUUGAUGAAUCUGGAUAACUUUUGCCGAUCGCACGGUCCAGUACCGGCGACGCAUCUUUCAAAUGUCUGCCUUAUCAACUUUCGAUGGUAGUUUCUGCGACUACCAUGGUUGUCACGGGUAACGGGGAAUCAGGGUUCGAUUCCGGAGAGGGAGCCUGAGAAACGGCUACCACAUCCAAGGAAGGCAGCAGGCGCGCAAAUUACCCACUCCCGGCACGGGGAGGUAGUGACGAAAAAUAACGAUACGGGACUCUUACGAGGCCUCGUAAUCGGAAUGAGUACACUUUAAAUAUUUUAACGAGGAACAAUUGGAGGGCAAGUCUGGUGCCAGCAGCCGCGGUAAUUCCAGCUCCAAUAGCGUAUACUAAAAUUGUUGCGGUUAAAAAGCUCGUAGUUGCAUUUGUGCGCCGCGCUGUCGGUGCAACGCAUCCGCGUUGAUACUGACACGUUUGCGGAGCAUAUCGUCGGUGAGCCGGCGUUAACAAGCGUCGGUUCAAUAUCAAAAUCCUAUCGCGGUGCUCUUCGUCGGGUGUCGAGAUGGGCCGACAAUUUUACUUUGAACAAAUUAGAGUGCUCAAAGCGGGCUCAAAAUGCUGCUUGAAUAUUUCGUGCAUGGAAUAAUAGAAUAUGAUCUCGGUUCUAUUUUGUUGGUUUUCAGAAACUCCGAGGUAAUGAUUAAUAGGGAUAACUGGGGGGCAUUUCGUAUUGCGACGUUAGAGGUGAAAUUCUUUGGAUCGUCGCAAGACGAACAUCAGCGAAAGCAUUUGCCAAAGGUGUUUUCAUCAAUCAAGAACGAAAGUUAGAAGGGUU